GGGUUGUGAGGUUAAGCGACUAAGCGUACACGGUGGAUGCCCUGGCAGUCAGAGGCGAUGAAGGGCGUACUAAUCUGCGAUAAGCGCCGGUAAGGUGAUAUGAACCGUUAUAACCGGCGAUACCCGAAUGGGGAAACCCAGUGUGAUUCGUCACACUAUCAUUAACUGAAUCCAUAGGUUAAUGAGGCGAACCGGGGGAACUGAAACAUCUAAGUACCCCGAGGAAAAGAAAUCAACCGAGAUUCCCCCAGUAGCGGCGAGCGAACGGGGAGGAGCCCAGAGCCUGAAUCAGCAUGUGUGUUAGUGGAAGCGUCUGGAAAGGCGCGCGAUACAGGGUGACAGCCCCGUACACAAAAGCGCAUGUGCUGUGAGCUCGAUGAGUAGGGCGGGACACGUGGUAUCCUGUCUGAAUAUGGGGGGACCAUCCUCCAAGGCUAAAUACUCCUGACUGACCGAUAGUGAACCAGUACCGUGAGGGAAAGGCGAAAAGAACCCCGGCGAGGGGAGUGAAAAAGAACCUGAAACCGUGUACGUACAAGCAGUGGGAGCACCCUUUGGGUGUGACUGCGUACCUUUUGUAUAAUGGGUCAGCGACUUAUAUUCUGUAGCAAGGUUAACCGAAUAGGGGAGCCGGAGGGAAACCGAGUCUUAACCGGGCGUUAAGUUGCAGGGUAUAGACCCGAAACCCGGUGAUCUAGCCAUGGGCAGGUUGAAGGUUGGGUAACACUAACUGGAGGACCGAACCGACUAAUGUUGAAAAAUUAGCGGAUGACCUGUGGCUGGGGGUGAAAGGCCAAUCAAACCGGGAGAUAGCUGGUUCUCCCCGAAAGCUAUUUAGGUAGCGCCUCGUGAAUUCAUCUCCGGGGGUAGAGCACUGUUUCGGCUAGGGGGCCAUCCCGGCUUACCAACCCGAUGCAAACUGCGAAUACCGGAGAAUGUUAUCACGGGAGACACACGGCGGGUGCUAACGUCCGUCGUGAAGAGGGAAACAACCCAGACCGCCAGCUAAGGUCCCAAAGUCAUGGUUAAGUGGGAAACGAUGUGGGAAGGCCCAGACAGCCAGGAUGUUGGCUUAGAAGCAGCCAUCAUUUAAAGAAAGCGUAAUAGCUCACUGGUCGAGUCGGCCUGCGCGGAAGAUGUAACGGGGCUAAACCAUGCACCGAAGCUGCGGCAGCGACACUGUGUGUUGUUGGGUAGGGGAGCGUUCUGUAAGCCUGUGAAGGUGUGUCGUGAGGCAUGCUGGAGGUAUCAGAAGUGCGAAUGCUGACAUAAGUAACGAUAAAGCGGGUGAAAAGCCCGCUCGCCGGAAGACCAAGGGUUCCUGUCCAACGUUAAUCGGGGCAGGGUGAGUCGACCCCUAAGGCGAGGCCGAAAGGCGUAGUCGAUGGGAAACGGGUUAAUAUUCCCGUACUUGGUGUUACUGCGAAGGGGGGACGGAGAAGGCUAUGUUGGCCGGGCGACGGUUGUCCCGGUUUAAGCGUGUAGGUGUGUGUUCCAGGUAAAUCCGGUUCACUUUAACACUGAGGCGUGACGACGAGGCACUACGGUGCUGAAGCAACAAAUGCCCUGCUUCCAGGAAAAGCCUCUAAGCAUCAGGUAACAUCAAAUCGUACCCCAAACCGACACAGGUGGUCAGGUAGAGAAUACCAAGGCGCUUGAGAGAACUCGGGUGAAGGAACUAGGCAAAAUGGUGCCGUAACUUCGGGAGAAGGCACGCUGACACGUAGGUGAAGUGAUUUACUCAUGGAGCUGAAGUCAGUCGAAGAUACCAGCUGGCUGCAACUGUUUAUUAAAAACACAGCACUGUGCAAACACGAAAGUGGACGUAUACGGUGUGACGCCUGCCCGGUGCCGGAAGGUUAAUUGAUGGGGUCAGCGCAAGCGAAGCUCCUGAUCGAAGCCCCGGUAAACGGCGGCCGUAACUAUAACGGUCCUAAGGUAGCGAAAUUCCUUGUCGGGUAAGUUCCGACCUGCACGAAUGGCGUAAUGAUGGCCAGGCUGUCUCCACCCGAGACUCAGUGAAAUUGAACUCGCUGUGAAGAUGCAGUGUACCCGCGGCAAGACGGAAAGACCCCGUGAACCUUUACUAUAGCUUGACACUGAACAUUGAGCCUUGAUGUGUAGGAUAGGUGGGAGGCUUUGAAGUGUGGACGCCAGUCUGCAUGGAGCCGACCUUGAAAUACCACCCUUUAAUGUUUGAUGUUCUAACGUGGACCCGUUACCCGGGUUGCGGACAGUGUCUGGUGGGUAGUUUGACUGGGGCGGUCUCCUCCUAAAGAGUAACGGAGGAGCACGAAGGUUGGCUAAUCCUGGUCGGACAUCAGGAGGUUAGUGCAAUGGCAUAAGCCAGCUUGACUGCGAGCGUGACGGCGCGAGCAGGUGCGAAAGCAGGUCAUAGUGAUCCGGUGGUUCUGAAUGGAAGGGCCAUCGCUCAACGGAUAAAAGGUACUCCGGGGAUAACAGGCUGAUACCGCCCAAGAGUUCAUAUCGACGGCGGUGUUUGGCACCUCGAUGUCGGCUCAUCACAUCCUGGGGCUGAAGUAGGUCCCAAGGGUAUGGCUGUUCGCCAUUUAAAGUGGUACGCGAGCUGGGUUUAGAACGUCGUGAGACAGUUCGGUCCCUAUCUGCCGUGGGCGCUGGAGAACUGAGGGGGGCUGCUCCUAGUACGAGAGGACCGGAGUGGACGCAUCACUGGUGUUCGGGUUGUCAUGCCAAUGGCACUGCCCGGUAGCUAAAUGCGGAAGAGAUAAGUGCUGAAAGCAUCUAAGCACGAAACUUGCCCCGA
rnacentral:rRNA from 3 species